rfam:Pteropus alecto contig2105, whole genome shotgun sequence.
GUCUACGGCCAUGCCACCCUGAACAAGCCCGAUCCCGUCUGAUCUCGGAAGCUAAGCAGGGUCGGGCCUGGUUCGUACUUGGAUGGGAGACCACUUAGGAAGACAAGAUGCUGUCAGCA